rnacentral:rRNA from 11 species
AGAAGUGGCAUAAAUACCCUAAAGGUACUAGAUCCCAUCUCAUUUUUGGAAACUAAGCAGGGUCAGCUCUAGUUAGUGCUUUGACGGAAGAUUGCCAGUGAAUACCAGGUGCUGCAGGUU